rnacentral:rRNA from 1 species
CUGCUUACCAUGCAGUCGAGCGGCAGCACUCGGGACCUAUCCUGCGUGGCGAGUGAGCGAACGGGUGAGUAAUAUAUCGAUAACGUGCCCAGUAGUGGGGGAUAGCCCGGCAAAAGCCGGAUUAGUACCCCAUACAACCUGAGGGUGAAUCCGGGGGAUCGCAAUACCUCGCGCUAUUGGAGCGGCCGAUAUCAGAUUAGCUAGUUGGUGGGGUAAAGGCCUACCAAGGCUACGAUCUGUAGUUGGUCUGACAGGACUACCACUCACACUGGGACUGAAACACGGCCCAAACUCCUACGGGAGGCUAUUGUGGGGAAUUUUGGACAAUGGGCGCAAGCCUGAUCCAGCAAUGCCGCGUGCAGGAAGAAGGCCUUCGGUUUGUAAACUGCUUUUGUCAGGGAAGAAAUCUUCUGGGCUAAUACCCCGGGAGGAUGACGGUACCUGAAGAAUACUCACCGGCUAACUACGUGCCAGCACCCGCGGUAAUACGUAGGGUGCGAGCGUUAAUCGGAAUUACUGGGCGUAAAGCGUGCGCAAGCGGCUUUGCAAGACCCAUGUGAAAUCCCCGGGCUCAACCUGGGAACUGCAUUUGUGACUGCCAGGCUAGAGUACGGCAAAUGGGGAUGGAAUUCCGCGUGUAGCAGAGAAAUGCGUAGAUAUGCGGAGGAACACCAAUGGCNAAGGCCAUCCUCUGCGCCUGUACUGACACUCAUGCACGAAAGCGUGGGGAGCAAACCCGAUUAGAUCCCCUGGUAGUCCACGCCCUAAACGAUGUCAACUGCUUGUUGGACGGCUUGCUGUUCAGAAACGAAGCUAACGCGUGAAGUUGACCGCCUGGGGAGUACUGACACAAGGAUGAAACUCAAAGGGACUCGACGGAGACCCGCACAAGCGGGGGUAUGAUGUGCUUUACUUCGAUGAUACUCGAGGAUCUUUACAACG